UUUUUUUUUUUAAUAGUUUCAAGAAGUCUUCCUUGGAAUAGUACUAAUAGUAUGGCCAUUUCUUUCUGUUCCUGACCGCUAGCUCGUCCUGAUACUGUGCUGACCCUGGAGACUGACUGGGCAGACAUUCUCACUGUGGAUAGUUUGACAUUACGGUGUGAUGUACAGGUCAAAGAUUUUGAAUGGAAUUACACUUGGUACAGAGACGGCAAUGAGAUGGCAGACAUCUCUGCAGAUAUUCAUGUCAAAUCCACCAAGGAAACGUACCAGAGUGAAUACACGUGCCGAGGGGCCCGACUCCAGCGUCCGACAUAUUCAGCACUCAGUGAAGCUUUUAUAGCAAACAACCUUGUUCUGAAACGGAAAAUCCUUCUCUCUAUUUCGGGCUGUUUGGUUGUCGGCAUUGUCCUUAUUGUGCUGGGCUGUAUCAUUCUGAAGGUGACCCGGAAGCCAGUAAAAGAGAGCAAAACGGCACCAGACUUGUUUUUCACCAUGGCUGAACUAAAGACACGUGCGGAUAUUGGUUCGACAGCAGACUUAUGCGCAGCUGAAAGUGUUGAUAAACUUAAAACAACAGAAAAGACUGAGUCUGAAGAGCAUCCAUGUCUUGCUGAGGAGCUGCUGAAAGAAGCCAAAGAAAGCCAAGAUGACAAGGAAACAGAUGGGUUUAUAUCAUUUAAAGCUUAGGCUUGUGACCAUACCUGCCCUGUGGAUGUUUCAACCUCCCAUCUCAUCCAAGAUGUCUAAUUCUCUAUGCCAGGAGGUAUCGCAUAUUAUAGUGUAUAAACAGGAGUAUUGCAGCUCUUGUGCAGAAACAAAUGCCAAUAGAACACACCUGAUUUGUUUCACAAGUAGGCUACCAUCUCUCUUUUCAAAAUCUUGUAUUUUUGUAUUAGGAUCUCGUAUUCUUGUAUUCAGACCUUGCGAAAGGAUUUUUCAUAAAUCAGAUUCUGUUUGAUGUCUAUGUUUAUAUUAAAGUCAGUGCCAUUGUGUUAUACGUUGUUUUAUACCAGUCGUUUUAGG
ensembl:lncRNA